rnacentral:rRNA from 1 species
UACGGAGGAUGCAAGCGUUAUCCGGAUUUAUUGGGUUUAAAGGGUGCGUAGGCGGAUUAAUAAGUCAGCGGUGAAAACCUUCAGCUUAACUGGAGACUUGCCAUUGAUACUGUUAGUCUUGAGUAUGGUUAAGGUAGGCGGAAUGUGUAAUGUAGCGGUGAAAUGCUUAGAUAUUACACAGAACACCAAUUGCGAAGGCAGCUUACUGAGCCAUAACUGACGCUGAUGCACGAAAGCGUGGGGAGCGAACAGG